rnacentral:rRNA from 1 species
CCAAUAGCGUAUAUUAAAGUUGUUGCAGUUAAAAAGCUCGUAGUUGAACUUCGGGGUCUACCCAUUGGUCAGGCUUAAUUGUCUGCACUGGUCAGAUGGAUCUCUACCUUCUGAGGAACUUUCAUGCCAUUUAUUUGGUGUGGUUGGAAAUCAGGACUGUUACUUUGAAAAAAUUAGAGUGUUUAAAGCAGACUAUCGUCUGAAUACAUUAGCAUGGAAUAAUGAAAUAGGACGGACUGAUUCUAUUUCGUUGGUUUCUAGGAUCACCGUAAUGAUUAAUAGGGAUAGUUGGGGGCAUUAGUAUUCAAUUGUCAGAGGUGAAAUUCUUGGAUUUAUUGAAGACUAACUACUGCGAAAGCAUUUGCCAAGGAUGUUUUCAUUAAUCAAGAACGAAAGUUAGGGGAUCGAAGACGAUCAGAUACCGUCGUAGUCUUAACCAUAAACUAUGCCGACUAGGGAUCGGACGAAGUUAAUUUUAUAAUGACGCGUUCGGCACCUUACG